AGUAUUCUUUGGUAGCUUUAUGUGGUAAUUUCGAAAAUUCAAUUUAUUUUUUUACGAAAUUUUCA
rnacentral:tRNA from 1 species